CGAGGAACUACUGUCUUCCC
rnacentral:misc_RNA from 1 species